CAGAGGGCCUUCUGUGACCGUCCUAUUAGGUUAGUGCAAAAGUAAUUGCAGUUUUUGCCAUUAAAAGUAAUUGCAAAAAUUGUGAUUACUUUUGCACCAACCUUAUAUCU
rnacentral:miRNA from 1 species